AGCAGCCGCGGUAAUUCCAGCUCCAAUAGCGUAUAUUAAAGUUGUUGCAGUUAAAAAAGCUCGUAGUUGAAUUUCGGGAUCAAUAUGUUGGUCGUGCCUUGGUACGUACUGGCAUUAUUGGUUUCUACCUUCUGAAGAACCUCGAUGUCAUUAAUUUGGUGUCUUGGGAAAUCAGGACUGUUACUUUGAAAAAUUAGAGUGUUUAAAGCAGGCUCGCGCUUGAAUACAUUAGCAUGGAAUAAUGAAAUAGGACGUUUGAUUCUAUUUUGUUGGUUUCUAGGAUCGACGUAAUGAUUAAUAGGGAUAGUUGGGGGCAUUAGUAUUCAAUUGUCAGAGGUGAAAUUCUUGGAUUUAUUGAAGACUAACUACUGCGAAAGCAUUUGCCAAGGAUGUUUUCAUUAAUCAAGAACGAAAGUUAGGGGAUCGAAGACGAUCAGAUACCGUCGUAGUCUUAACCAUAAACUAUGCCGACUAGGGAUCGGAUGAUGUUUAAUUUUUAAUGUACUCAUUCGGCGUCCUU
rnacentral:rRNA from 1 species